rnacentral:rRNA from 1 species
GAUGAACGCUGGCGGCGUGCCUAAUACAUGCAAGUCGAGCGAACGGACGAGAAGCUUGCUUCUCUGAUGUUAGCGGCGGACGGGUGAGUAACACGUGGAUAACCUACCUAUAAGACUGGGAUAACUUCGGGAAACCGGAGCUAAUACCGGAUAAUAUUUUGAACCGCAUGGUUCAAAAGUAAAAGACGGUCUUGCUGUCACUUAUAGAUGGAUCCGCGCUGCAUUAGCUAGUUGGUAAGGUAACGGCUUACCAAGGCAACGAUGCAUAGCCGACCUGAGAGGGGGAUCGGCGCCACUGGAGCUGAGCCACGGUCCAGACUCCUACGGGAGGCAGAAGUAGGGAAUCGUGCGAAAUGGGCGAAAGACUGACGGAGCAACGCCGCGUGGGUGAUGAAGGUCUUCGGAUCGUAAAACUCUGUUAUUGGGGAAGAACAUAUGUGUAAGUAACUGUGCACAUCUUGACGGUACCUAAUCAGAAAGCCACGGCUAACUACGUG